UUAGUUUAUUUAACUAUUUUCAGAUUUUAAACAUGGUUAAAGGAUUUGUUGUGGGCUACUGGCGAGCGCUGGCCAGAGGUUAAAAGACCCCCGGCGGUCUGGUUAAAAGACGGGCCCGCCAAAGCAACAUGGUAAUUAUACAAAGGGUUGGAGAUCGGGCCCGGAAGACCCUAACUCAUUAAUGAUCCUUCCGCAGGUUCACCUACGGAAA
rnacentral:misc_RNA from 1 species